rnacentral:pre_miRNA from 1 species
GUAUUAUCGAGAGUUCCCUUCAACCACUUCACGUGGCACUGUCUCAAGGCCUAUUGUGUGAAGUGUUUGGGGGAACUCUCGGUAUCAC